CCAUGGCUUUAUCCUUAGAGGCUUAUAACAGCAGUUUAAAGAUAGAAUGGGAUAAGGCAAGUAUAAUAAAGCCAAUAGGUAAGAAAUCCCAGAUGUUAAUGGCAGAAACAUUGGAAAUUUUGAAAAGAGAAGGGAAAGAAAAUCUGCUGAAUAACCGGCCAGCAGUAGAACUACCAACAGCAUGGGGCUACAUGUUAAAGACUUAGAAGAAUAGGCUAUUAAAAUAGUAAUGAAGCAUGAAAUGGUGCCUUUAACCAAUAGUGGAUCCAGGCACUAGAGCAUGUAUAUUUAUGUGCAAUAGAUUUCUAUCUUUAACAGCACAUGUUAAUUCUGUAUAUAUUUUUAUUACUCGGGAUCCCUUUAAUACCUUUGUACCUCUUCAUUUAUUUAUUUAUUUGUUAUUAUUUUAAUUUUAUUUUGUUUUAUUUUAUUUUGUUUAUGUAGAUAUGUAACCAUAGUAAUGAUCUGUUAGGAAUUAUAAAGCUAUUAACUAUUUGAAGUUCUUAUUUUAUGAAAGUUUGUAGCCUGAUGAUGGUACAGUAGUACCAAAACGUUAGCAACCAAUAAAGAGUUUUGGU
rnacentral:lncRNA from 1 species